rnacentral:tRNA from 1 species
GGGCGCGUAGGGUAGUUUGGAUAUCCUCCGGCCUUGCGGAGGCCAGGACCCGUGUUCAAAUCACGGCGCGCCCG